rnacentral:lncRNA from 1 species
UUUUUUUUUUUUUCUUUUUCCCACCAAAUGUGGGUUUGUUUAUUGUUGUUGGAUCAAUGGUGACUUUCCUUUAAUAUGAAAAAGAAAAAUACAAAUUUUAUAAUUCUUAAUUCCAACCUAUAUACUUGCAAAAUAUUGUGAAUUGAGUCUUAUCUCGAUUGACAUGAUUAUUGUUGUCAAUGUAGAAGGACGUGGGUUCAAGUGCGCUGAAACGCAUUGUCCUCCUAUUUAUGGGUUGAAAAUGAGCUAUGGGCAAUUCUAAAUAUUAAGUCAAAAAGAACAAAUAUAAUCGGAACUUAUAAUGAGAUUAUUCAAAAAAUAAAACAAAUAUAAGUUGUUCAAGUAUAUUAUUAUGUAUAUUAUCCUCGACCCAAUAAAACUAGUCUCAUAUUGUAAAUAAAGAUAAUAUCAUUUUAACAUACAUUAUAUGAAGAUGGUGAAUAUAAAUGUCUUACCACUAGAUAAAAUUGAAAUAAUUUAUAAUUGGUACGUACGAUGUAACUUUACAAAGAUAAAAGAUAAUUUUUAAUAAAUAUAAAAAACUUGCAAUAAUGUGAUAUAAAAUAUAUUUAUAAAUUGUCGAUGUAUUCAACUCAAACACAAUAAAAUUGAACUAGACUCAUAUUAAGCAUUUAAUCUAAAAUCAAUUGAUAAAAAAUGAAAAGAUUUUAUUUGUAUAUAAGAAUUUUAAAAUUUAAUAAAAAUUUCAUCCAUUAAAAGACAAAGAAGCCUAUCAUGUUACAACUUUUAAGAAGUACCUAGUAUGACUAAUGUUUCAGAACAAUAUAAUAAAACCUCACUCUCAUACCAUAUUAAACAUCAAUCUUAAAUAGAAAAAAAGAAUUACAUGAAAGGAUUUGGGAGGAAAUAGAAAAACAAUUAAUGUAUAUGUAAGACCCAAUUUUAGCCCGGGCUCAAAUAUCUAGUUACAGCCCACACACAUACAAAAGCAAAAAUAAAUAAUAAACCCAAAAAUAAAACCAAUUACAUUAAGCAAGCCCAAUAGCCUAAAUCAGAAAGACAUGGAAAACCCUAGGCUAUUUCCUUGUGCUGCAGGCCCCACGUUUAGCGUCCCUCCACCGCACACGUCGGCACAUCAAGCACGACUCCUAGCCAGUGUGUAGCACGCACCACGCCCCAUGACGCUCUCCUCCACGAUCUGCAAUUUGAGCGAGAGAGUAGCAAGUAACUGUUUGUAUUUGGCUAUAAAGCCUUCAAAUUUUUCAUUGUAUGCGGUUUUUUUUUUAGAUACGAAUACACACAAAAUCAAGAAACAGCAAUAAAAAUCAGAUUCAAGAUUCAAAAGGUUGAGGUUUUCUCAUUGUUUUUCUUUUCGCAUCCUUGUUUCUUUUUUCACCUUUUUACAAAUUUUUAAAUAAAAGCCGAAAGAAAGGAGGCUUACCUGGGUUCUCACCGUGGAUCGGCGUCAGAGGCGGUAGUUGAAGGCUGGAUAUCAGCCGUUCGGUUCAAAAGCAGAGAGGAGAGUGAAGGUGCUAAGAAAAUAUCUCAAAAUUUUAGGGUUUCUUUUUAAAGCUUAAAAUGUUUUUUUUUAAAUGAUUUAAAUGGUGAAAUUGAAACAGCAUUAGGGGGGGGG